GAAGCGGUGCCGACGCGGGACGGGCGGCGGCUGCUGGAGGCGCUGAACGUGGAGCCGCCCGCGGCCAGGAAUCCCUCAGAGCAUCCUUUCACCUACGUCACAGAGGUGCAUCCCUCACUGACCCCUGCCUGCACCACGUGCCUGCAGAACAGCCUGCUACCCUCAUAGCCAGGACUACAUGUCAGCUUGGGCAGCCAGGCUUGGCUCCAGCAUUGACACAUGGAUUUACAGCUCCAUGUCUGUGCCCUGGGAUGGUGACCCUAUGCAAAGGACAUCCAGCAUGACUGGCAGAGCCUCUAUUGCAUCCUCCAUCACAAUCAUCAUUCCUUCCUUUGCCACACACCGGGGCCUGCAAGAAAUAGCAGGCAAUGCAUCUCUCUGCCUGAUGUCUGAUUUAUUGACUCAUAACUCCAACAAGCAGGUGGCCCUUUUUCAAUCCCCAUUUCGGUCCCAUCUGAAACAGGGUGCUGGUCUCUGUAGCACUGUGUGUCCUCUCUUUCUCCCUGUCUUCACAUGGCUUCAAGGAGAUAAACACCUUCUUGCCCCUCUCCAGAAGAGCUGUGGCCUAACUGACAGCAGCGACCUAUUUAUGAAGCCACAGAACACACAAAAAACCACCUCCAAAACAACAAAUCCACACUGGAAUGCACUGGGGAAAGUAGAACAUAUCUGUAUGACACACGGAUACAUUUCUUCCUGAUCCCAGCUGGCAGUUACGUUAUGGAGAUAAAAACACAUCAAGCUUUGAUGAUUAUAAGACUAUGAAGAAACUUGAGAAAAUAACUCUAUAAAAUACUUUAUAGACACAGAAAAUGCAUUUCUUGGCUGAAAUGUUCAUCAAUAAAACUUAUAGAUUGGUAUUAAU